GAUUGAGAGCUGGCGUCCUCGGCGUCCGCAUUGUAAUCUCAAGAAGUGUUUUCCGCUUCGGACCAUGCCUAAGUCCCUUGGAAAAGGGCAUCAUAGAGGGUGAUAAUCCCGUACAUGGCAUGGAGCGCCCGAAGCUUUGUGAUACGCUUUCUAAGAGUCGAGUUGUUUGGGAAUGCAGCUCAAAAUGGGUGGUAAAUUCCAUCUAAAGCUAAAUAUUGGCGAGAGACCGAUAGCGAACAAGUACAGUGAUGGAAAGAUGAAAAGAACUUUGAAAAGAGAGUUAAACAGUACGUGAAAUUGCCAAAAGGGAAGGGUAGGAGGUCAGAGAUGCGGCCUGGGAUUCAGCCUUGCUUUUGCUUGGUGUUUUCCCCAGAUUGCAGGCCAACGUCGGUUUUGGGCACUGGAGAAGGGUAGGAGGAACGUGGCACCUCUCGGGGUGUGUUAUAGCCUCCUACUGGAUACAGCGACCGAGACCGAGGACAGCAGCGUACUCGCAAGAGCGGGCCUUCGGGCACCUUUACGCUUAGGGCGUUGGCAUAAUGGCCCUCUACCACCCGUCUUGA
rnacentral:rRNA from 1 species